AACGUAGGGGGCGAGCGUUGUCCGGAAUUACUGGGCGUAAAGGGCGUGUAGGUGGUUUGUGAAGUCGAAAGUGAAAACCUGGGGCUCAACCCCGGGCCUGCUUUCGAAACCAGCAGACUUGAGGACAGGAGAGGGAAGCGGAAUUCCCAGUGUAGCGGUGAAAUGCGUAGAUAUUGGGAGGAACACCAGUGGCGAAAGCGGCUUUCUGGCCUGUAACUGACACUGAGGCGCGAAAGCGUGGGGAGCAAACAGG
rnacentral:rRNA from 1 species